rnacentral:rRNA from 1 species
GUAUAAGAGACAGCAGCAGCCGCGGUAAUACAGAGGGUGCGAGCGUUAAUCGGAUUUACUGGGCGUAAAGCGUGCGUAGGCGGCUUUUUAAGUCGGAUGUGAAAUCCCUGAGCUUAACUUAGGAAUUGCAUUCGAUACUGGGAAGCUAGAGUAUGGGAGAGGAUGGUAGAAUUCCAGGUGUAGCGGUGAAAUGCGUAGAGAUCUGGAGGAAUACCGAUGGCGAAGGCAGCCAUCUGGCCUAAUACUGACGCUGAGGUACGAAAGCAUGGGGAGCAAACAGGAUUAGAGACCCCAGUAGUCCCUGUCUCUUAUAC